AGUACACAGAGAGCCACAGCUUCGAGAACUUGCUGCCAACCUUUCCAGAACUGUGGACAACUUUUCCAUUUCCUCGCCUUCCCACAAGAAAAAGUGCCCAGAGUGUGGAAACUCAGAGGAUGUUCGGACCAUGGUGUAUAAAGACAUUCCUGAUGCACUGCUGAUGCACUUUACGUCUGGAUUACCCAGCAUGCCCCUGUCGAUCUUCAACUGAAUCACCAUGGAAAUACGUACGCAGUGACGGGCUUGGUGCAAUAUCAAGAGGGGACAGACGUACCAAACCAUUUUGUGGCUUGGCUGAGGAAUCCUGAUGACAACAUGUGGAUGAAGUGUGAUGACCUUGACGGCUCAGUGUGCGCCUUCAACCACUCCCAGCCGUCUGUCCCAUCGUCACAGGUGCACAUCGUUAUGUGGGAAAAGGUCAUCCCAAAGACUCGAACCUGUCGCCAGCUUACCAUGGUGCCUGACCAUGACAACAGUAUAAGUUUCCAUGACGAUG